UGCGUAGGUGGCGUGGAAAGUCAGAUGUGAAAUUCGGGGGCUCAACCCGCGAACUGCAUCCGAUACUCCCAUGCUAGAGAACUGGAGGGGAGUCUGGAAUUCUCGGUGUAGCAGUGAAAUGCGUAGAUAUCGAGAGGAACACUAGUGGCGAAGGCGAGACUCUGGACAGUAUCUGACACUGAGGCACGAAGGCUAGGGUAGCGAACG
rnacentral:rRNA from 1 species